rnacentral:misc_RNA from 1 species
GAUGAAGAACGUAGUGAAAUGCGAUAAGUAAUGUGAAUUGCAGAAUUCAGUGAAUCAUCGAAUCUUUGAACGCACAUUGUGCCCCCUGGUAUUCCGGGGGGCAUGCCUGUUCGAGCGUCAUUUCACCACUCAAGCCUCGCUUGGUAUUGGGCAAUGCGGUCCGCCGCCUGCCUCAAAUCGACCGGCUGGGUCUUCUGUCCCCUAAGCGUUGUGGAAACUAUUCGCUAAAGGGUGUUCGGGAGGCUACGCCGUAAAACAACCCCAUUUCUAAGGUUGACCUCGGAUCAGGUAGGGAUACCCGCUGAACUUAAGCAUAUCAAUAAGCGGAGGA